rnacentral:rRNA from 1 species
UACGUAGGGUGCGAGCGUUAAUCGGAAUUACUGGGCGUAAAGCGUGCGCAGGCGGUUUUGUAAGCCAGAUGUGAAAUCCCCGGGCUUAACCUGGGAAUGGCAUUUGGGACUGCAAGGCUCGAGUGCGGCAGAGGAGACUGGAAUUCCUGGUGUAGCAGUGAAAUGCGUAGAUAUCAGGAGGAACACCGGUGGUGUAGACGGCUUUCUGGGCCGUAACUGACGCUGAGACACGAAAGCGUGGGUAGCAAACAGG